UAACCAGAAAGCCACGGCUAAUUACGUGCCAGCAGCCGCGGUAAUACGUAGGUGGCAAGCGUUGUCCGGAUUUAUUGGGCGUAAAGGGAACGCAGGCGGUUUUUUAAGUCUGAUGUGAAAGCCUUCGGCUUAACCGAAGUCAUGCAUUGGAAACUGAAAGACUUGAGUGCAGAAGAGGAGAGUGGAACUCCAUGUGUAGCGGUGAAAUGCGUAGAUAUAUGGAAGAACACCAGUGGCGAAAGCGGCUCUCUGGUCUGUAACUGACGCUGAGGUUCGAAAGUGUGGGUAGCAAACAGGAUUAGAUACCCUGGUAGUCCACACCGUAAACGAUGAAUGCUAAGUGUUGGAGGGUUUCCGCCCUUCGGUGCUGCAGCUAACGCAUUAAGCAUUCCGCCUGGGGAGUACGACCGCAAGGUUGAAACUCAAAGGAAUUGACGGGGGCCCGCACAAGCGGUGGAGCAUGUGGUUUAAUUCGAAGCAACGCGAAGAACCUUACCAGGUCUUGACAUCUUCUGACAACCUAAGAGAUUAGGUGUUCCCUUCGGGGACAGAAUGACAGGUGGUGCAUGGUUGUCGUCAGCUCGUGUCGUGAGAUGUUGGGUUAAGUCCCGCAACGAGCGCAACCCUUAUUACUAGUUGCCAGCAUUUAGUUGGGCACUCUAGUGAGACUGCCGGUGACAAACCGGAGGAAGGUGGGGAUGACGUCAAAUCAUCAUGCCCCUUAUGACCUGGGCUACACACGUGCUACAAUGGACGGUACAACGAGUCGCGAAACCGCGAGGUUUAGCUAAUCUCUUAAAGCCGUUCUCAGUUCGGAUUGUAGGCUGCAACUCGCCUACAUGAAGUCGGAAUCGCUAGUAAUCGCGGAUCAGCAUGCCGCGGUGAAUACGUUCCCGGGCCUUGUACACACCGCCCGUCACACCAUGAGGAGUUUGUAACACCCAAAGCCGGUGGAGGUAACCAUUUAUGGAGCCAGCCGUCUAAGGUGGACAGAGAUUGA
rnacentral:rRNA from 1 species